GUGGGGAAUUUUGGACAAUGGGCGAAAGCCUGAUCCAGCAAUGCCGCGUGCAGGAUGAAGGCCCUCGGGUUGUAAACUGCUUUUGUACGGAACGAAAAGCCUGGGGCUAAUAUCCCCGGGUCAUGACGGUACCGUAAGAAUAAGCACCGGCUAACUACGUGCCAGCAGCCGCGGUAAUACGUGGGGUGCAAGCGUUAAUCGGAAUUACUGGGCGUAAAGCGUGCGCAGGCGGUUUUGUAAGACAGUGGUGAAAUCCCCGGGCUCAACCUGGGAACUGCCAUUGUGACUGCAAGGCUAGAGUGCGGCAGAGGGGGAUGGAAUUCCGCGUGUAGCAGUGAAAUGCGUAGAUAUGCGGAGGAACACCGAUGGCGAAGGCAAUCCCCUGGGCCUGCACUGACGCUCAUGCACGAAAGCGUGGGGAGCAAACAGGAUUAGAUACCCCAGUAGUCC
rnacentral:rRNA from 1 species